CAGCAGCCGCGGUAAUACGAAGGUGGCAAGCGUUGUCCGGAAUUAUUGGGCGUAAAGGGCUCGCAGGUGGUUUCUUAAGUCUGAUGUGAAAGCCCCCGGCUCAACCGGGGAGGGUCAUUAGAAACUGGGAAACUUGAGUGCAGAAGAGGAGAGUGGAAUUCCACGUGUAGCGGUGAAAUGCGUAGAGAUGUGGAGGAACACCAGUGGCGAAGGCGACUCUCUGGUCUGUAACUGACGCUGAGGAGCGAAAGCGUGGGGAGCGAACAGGAUUAGAUACCCCUGUAGUCCCUGUCUCUUAUAC
rnacentral:rRNA from 1 species